ACCCUUAUAGUUUAAAAAACGUUGUAUUUUCAUUACAAAAUUAGAUUAUAUCUUGAGGAUA
rnacentral:tRNA from 1 species